CGGGGCUGAGGCUGCGGCUGGAGCUGCGGUGGGUGCUGCUGUCCUCGCCGGAGCCCGGUGCUGUCAUGCCCCCGCCGCGCGGCGGGCCGCUGAGCACCGGAGCCGCUAUAUAAGCGCAGGCAAGGGGACAUUCGGAGGGGCUGAAGAUGAAGGUGCCCGCGCAUGGGCCCCCACUGAUUGCCAACCCCUCCCGAGCCCGCGCCCAGCGCGGAGCCCGCGGCCGCCCAGGACCCGCCUUCGCCGCAGUAGCAGCUGGAGCAGCGACAGAGGAGGCAGCUACGGCGGUGGCGGCGGCGCCCGUCGCCGGAGCGCGUAGAUCGGCGGCGGCAGCUCGGGGGCCGCCGCUGCCCCGGCUGACAUGAGUUGUGCGGAGGUGAUGUAUCACCCCCAGCCGUAUGGAGCACCCCAGUAUCUGCCCAACCCUGUGGCAGCUGCAACCUGCCCCACAGCCUACUACCACCCGGCGCCCCAACCUGGCCAGCAGAAGAAGUUAGCGGUAUACAGCAAGAUGCAGGACUCUCUGGAAGUCACCCUUCCCAGCAAACAAGAGGAGGAGGAGGAUGAGGAGGAGGAGGAGGAGGAGGAGGAGAAAGACCAGCCUGCCGAGAUGGAGUACCUUAACUCUCGCUGUGUCCUUUUCACUUAUUUCCAGGGAGACAUUGGGUCAGUAGUGGAUGAACACUUCUCAAGAGCUUUGGGCCAAGCCAGCACCCUCCAUCCAGAAUCUGCCAUUUCAAAAAGCAAGAUGGGGCUAACCCCACUAUGGCGAGACAGCUCAGCUCUCUCAAGCCAGCGGAAUAGUUUCCCGACUUCCUUUUGGACCAGCUCUUACCAGCCCCCACCUGCACCCUGCUUGGGGGGUGUUCAUCCUGACUUCCAGGUCACUGCACCCCCUGGCACCUUUACUGCGGCCGACCCCAGCCCCUGGCCAGGACACGGCCUGCAUCAGACUGGCCCAGCCCCUCCCCCGCCCGCAUCCGAGUCCUGGCACUAUCCUUUGGCAUCUCAGGUGAGCCCAUCCUACAGCCACAUGCAUGAUGUGUACAUGCGGCACCACCACCCCCACGCCCACAUGCACCACCGCCACCACCACCACCACCACCACCACCCUUCUGCUGGCUCUGCCCUGGAUCCGUCCUAUGGGCCCCUGCUGAUGCCAUCAGUGCGUGCAGCCAGGAUUCCUGCUCCCCAGUGUGACAUCACAAAGACAGACCCGACUACAGUCACCACUGCUACCUCAGCGUGGGCCGGAGCCUUUCACGGAACCAUGGACUUAGUGCCAAGUGUGGGGUUUGAAACAGGAAAUAAAAGGCAAGAUGAAAAGUAGCUAGAGAACUAGAGCAGCAAAUGGAGAGGCAGUUUAUCUCCAUGAAAGAGAGAUGGACAUCAAGUUACCACUUGCUUUGCUGUUCAUCCUGUCUGCAGCAUCAAGACAAGAGCAAGGAAUCACCCUGGUACUGAAACACAGUAUUAGCAAGUCAGGUUGAAGUGUGAAUCCAUGGGCCCACUGGGAAAGAGGCUGCCAGGAUUUCCCAUUCUGCAGUGGGACACAAUAGACAUGGAAGAAGAAGAGGAAAUGUCAGCCAGCUAACUUUGGUUUGGAGCCUUUUCUUGAGAAAGCAGAGUGGGUCCUAGACAUUGAAGAAAAGCAUUUUUAUUUGUUUUUUUUUUUUUUCCCCUCAUCUGAGCCUUUGUCAACUGUGCAAAUCUUUUUUUUUUUUUUUGUCUUGCUUUUAUCAAUACAUGAUUUAAUUUUUGUUUCAUUCUGAUUUUUUUUUCUUUUUCCUUUUUGAACCAACCAUCUUGUCAGGAAAAGAUGAACCAGACGUGAAAAUGCUCAUCCUUUCAGGAAUACAAUUUUGUAGCUCUAUGUGUAUCUAUUUUUGUAGAAUACAGAAAGUUUGAUUUAGCAUUGAUGGGCUAUUUUUGAGGGAUGUAUUUUUUUUAAUAUUGUAAAAAUUGGUAAGUUCUGUUUAAAGAACUUGCUCUCAGAGAAGCACUGGCAAAAAUGUUAAAAAUGCUUGUCUUUAAAAUGUCUGUGAUAUGCUCUGUGCUUUCUAGGUUACCUCAAGUGUUUGAUAGUUCCUCCUUUUUACAAAAGUAGCAGCAUAGCCAAGCCAAGAUAGUAUUGUUUUACAUUAAAUCUCGGCGAAGAUUUAAUUCCAUGUUAGCUCACUUAGCUUUGAGUUAUAUGUAUAGAUUGGAAAGGAAGUUUUUUAAUGACCAUACUAAAGAAAGGAUAUUUCAUUACUUCGAUUUGCCCCAAAGAGUACUUGGAGUUUGACUAGGAAGAAAGUUUGCAUCAACUUUCAGUCAGAGGGAGAGACUGCCUGGAGUAUAUAAUUGUCUUUCUAGCCCAUCCAACUUUGAUAAAUGGAACCGGUUUGUAUCCAACCACUGGAAAAAAAAAUACAUUAACCCAUGCUACCUUUGAUUGCCAGUGACUUAGUUUCCUUGUUUCUAAUUAUUCAAUCAUGGCAAUUUUUAAGGUCAUAUUUUAAGUGGAUGUUUUUGUUUGUUUGUUUUUGUUUUUAUUUUCUGAGAUAUUUUGAAUGGAAAAUAUUUGGGAGGGUACUAGACACAGCACAAGCCUUGAAUUCAAUGGCUAUUUCUGACAUUACUCAUCAUUAUAUAUUGAAAAAUAAUAUAUUGUAUAUGUGAUUUUAAACAUAGGUUUUUUUUUCAAGUCUUUCUUUGGUUGUUUAAAUCUGGUCUUAGUUGAUUGAACUCUUUUUAAGAAAAUGAUUUAGGGUAAAAUGAAAUUUAAAUUAGAAUAUGCCACAAUUACUUAAAUUGGGGUAAUAAAUUAGCCAUUUAUUAUUUGAAAUUUAUUCAUGAAAACUCAGGAUUCAACUUGACGUGGCCCUCAGGACCUAAAUAAGGUGAAGUUGGAAUUAUCAUUAAGACCCUAUUGGGAAAAGAUUAGGGUUAUAAAAGUAGCAGUUAGUAAUAUUUUAAGGAUUUUUGAUUCAAGUCCAUUCUCUCAAAGCUGCUUCCAGAGAUGGGUCACAUUAAAGAGUUAGGGCUAUAUAGAAGUUUUAGUUUGGUAAAAGUUUCUCAAAUGUCCCCCAUCCUUGUCUUCACCAAUAUGAAAUACAGUGUUUAGUGAAAUACCACUUUCCAUUUUAAAUUGUGUAUAUCUUGUGUGUAAAGAUUUUAGCUAUAAGAACAGCACAGCCUUUGCUCAGCUAGGCAGGGUUCUUACAGAUAAUUUAAAGUAAUUCCCUUAUCUCUGUUUUUUACAUUGGUUGUCUUCCCUGGUGCCUCCUGUGAGUUAUAAAUCUAUACACUCUCUUGUAUUCUUAUCACUCCAUAAAUUGCUUCUUCUUACCUAGACUCUCCUUAACACAAUGUGCAUAUUUUUACCUAAUGUGAGGUUGAAACUUAAGGAAUUUUCCCCUUACUAAUGACAUAAACUUUGAGUUCUAGGGAGUGGCUUAGUUAAAUUAUCUAUAUUUUGAUCUGUGAUUUGUUAUGGUUGUAUGUACUUUGUCCAAUCUGUGGAGCAUGAAGUUGAUUGAAUCUAUAAAAUUGGUUUCCUCUUGUGUCCUCCUGAGUUUUCAAAAACAAGUAUUCAGCAGUUCCCAUGGGAUGACUCAUUGGGGAUUAUUUAUUUCCUUCCUCUUCCUUUGGAACCUAUUAACUUCCUUUGCAGUUUCUCUUAGAACAGUGUUGUACUCCAACUCAUUCAGAUCAUGCAAUUGGAUUUUCCCAAUUAAGGGAGAAGAAAAGUAUUAACUCUCUGCUCCGUUCCUUCUUCUCCAUUGAAUUGAAUUCAAAAGGAGAGCAGACAAUUGGAUAGCUUCACCCUGAAUUUGGACUGUGUUCUGUGCCACUGUAGGAUGGUACAUUGUGCACAGUAGAAUGUAGGAUGAAACAUUCCUUGGCUCUGGGGCCCAAGAAAAGUUGGGGACCUGAAUUCUGCUGUAUCUAGGAAAGAUUUGCAAGUGAGGUCUCUUGUUGAGAAAAGACAUCAUUGACAUAUUGCAAGGAUUAGAUCCUUGCAAUAUAAGGAAUAGAUCAAAGUCUAAAUGAAAAGAGAGUGCAUGUCUCUAUAAUUGCCUGGCAUCCCCCUUGUUAUGAUCAUUUUACCUUUACCACCAGAAGUUAUAAAAGAGAAUGGGUUGUAAUUUAGCAUGAUAUUCUGACCUUAAGUUUAAAAUGCUAUCACUCUCUGGUUCUGCUUUCCUCACAUCAAAACGAUGCUGUUGAACUUAUAGGCUUCUAACCUGCUUUAAAGAGGCUACCAGCUUCCUCCCUAAAUCAUUUGAAACCACUCCACCUUUGACUAUUUUAAAAAUUAGACUUUAUUCAAGGUUUUGGAAGAUGUGAGCUAAACCAUAUAAAAUCAUCUCAUUUAUUUGACAUCUAAUCCAGGCUUUGGCCACUACACUAUCAUAAGUUAAUGAACAACUCAUGAGUUGGAUCUCAACAGGCUACUUUGUCCCUCAUCGUUUAUUUGAAAGAGCCUCUAAAUAUUUUAAAAAUCAAUGUUUCUUAAGAAUGUUAAUCACCCCCUUCCUAACUUUAAUCUGUAAUUUUUCUUCUUUCUCUUUCUUCUUAAAAUGAUUUACAUUAUUAUUUAAGCAAAAAUGCCCAGGGUUGCUCCAAAUGUUGCAAAUAAGAACCAGUGGUUUGCAAAUAAUUGAGGAAUUAGUUCUUUGAACUUUAUAACAAACCUUAAAAAACAAAACAAAACAAAACAAAACAAA